rnacentral:rRNA from 1 species
UACGUUUGGUUGAAUUAAACCGAGAUAUAAUAGUUUUUUAUUCUCUAGGGUAAAAUCAGGAGAAUUAGUGUGUUUUAUGUUUAAUUUGUAAGAUUCAGAAAACGAACCAGAUUAGUACCUGGUUAGAUGAAAUUAAAGAAAGCAGAAGUAAAGUUGUAUUUAAACUGUAAGGAUAUUGGCAGGCUCUUUAAAUUAUCUUUGGAGGUUGAGUAGUAAUUGAGAACCCACAUUUUCAACUUUUAUUUUAGGCGCAUGUAUGAUCGUUUAUUUUAUUCUUAACGAUUGUAAGCAAAAGUUUUUAUUUAAAAAAACAGAUAACUACCUGGUUUAUAUAAGAGUGUAAAUUUGACCUACAGUAACUCAAAUUUUGGAUUCAUCGCUGAGAGGUGUUGAUGAAAUUGUAAAAGACAGUAAAUUGUUCUUAAUGUACAGUUGAAGUUUAUCUAUGAGCGGUACAAAUCAU